AAAGAUUAAGCCAUGCAUGUCUAAGUACAKGCCGUAUUAAGGCGAAACCGCGAAUGGCUCAUUAAAUCAGUUAUGGUUCCUUGGAUCGUACAUUACUACUUGGAUAACUGUGGCAAUUCUAGAGCUAAUACAUGCAGCAGAGCUCCGACCUUCGGGGACGAGCGCUUUUAUUAGACCAAAACCAAUCGGACACUUGUGUCCGUCCUGACGUGGUGACUCUGUAUAACUUUGGGCUGAUCGCACGGGCCCGUCCCGGCGACGUAUCCUUCAAGUGUCUGCCUUAUCAACUUUCGAUGGUAGGUUACGCGCCUACCAUGGUCGUAACGGGUAACGGGGAAUCAGGGUUCGAUUCCGGAGAGGGAGCCUGAGAAACGGCUACCACAUCCAAGGAAGGCAGCAGGCGCGCAAAUUACCCACUCCCGGCACGGGGAGGUAGUGACGAAAAAUAACAAUACGGGACUCUUUUGAGACCCCGUAAUUGGAAUGAGUACACUCUAAAUCCUUUAACGAGGAUCCAUUGGAGGGCAAGUCUGGUGCCAGCCGCCGCGGUAAUUCCAGCUCCAAUAGCGUAUAUUAAAGUUGUUGCGGUUAAAAAGCUCGUAGUUGGAUCUCAGUUCCAGACGGGUGGUCCGCCAACCGGUGGUUWCUGCCUGUUCUGAACAGCCAGCCGGUUUCUCUUGAUGAUCUUCACCGGUUGUCUUGGGUGACCGGCAAGUUUACUUUGAAAAAAUUAGAGUGCUCAAAGCAGGCGUGAYGCCUGAAUAAUGGUGCAUGGAAUAAUGGAAUAGGACCUCKGUUCUAUUUUGUUGGUUUUMGGAACACGAGGUAAUGAUUAAGAGGGACAGACGGGGGCAUUCGUAUUGCGACGCUAGAGGUGAAAUUCUUGGACCGUCGCARGACGAACUACUGCGAAAGCAUUUGCCAAGAAUGUUUCCAUUAAUCAAGAACGAAAGUUAGAGGUUCGAAGGCGAUCAGAUACCGCCCUAGUUCUAACCAUAAACGAUGCCAGCCAGCGAUCCGGCUGUGUUCCUCAAAUGACACGCCGGGCAGCUUCCGGGAAACCAAAGCUUUUGGGUUCCGGGGGAAGUAUGGUUGCAAAGCUGAAACUUAAAGGAAUWGACGGAAGGGCACCACCAGGAAUGGAGCCUGCGGCUUAAUUUGACUCAACACGGGGAAACUUACCCGGCCCGGACACAGGAAGGAUUGACAGAUUAAGAGCUCUUUCUUGAUUCUGUGGGUGGUGGUGCAUGGCCGUUCUUAGUUGGUGGAGCGAUUUGUCUGGUUAAUUCCGAUAACGAGCGAGACUCUAGCCUACUAAAUAGACGUUCCGAUCAUCUUCGUCGGACGUUCUUCUUAGAGGGACAAGACGAGGAAUUCCYAGUAAGCGUGAGUCAUCAGCUYGCGUUGAUUACGUCCCUGCCCUUUGUACWCCASSASCCSUCGCUAMUUCCGAUUGAAUGAUUUAGUGAGGUCUUCGGACUGGAACUCGGAGCGGCCUUCGGGUCGCGCCGGCGUGCCGGAAAGAUGACCAAAC
rnacentral:rRNA from 1 species